AAGUCGUAACAAGGUUUCCGUAGGUGAACCUGCGGAAGGAUCAUUAAUGAAUUGUAAAGGAGGUUGAUGCUGGCUUUAUUGCAUGUGCUCGCCUCCGACAAUCCUUAUCCAUACACCUGUGCACCUCUGAGGGGUUUUUUCCGUUUAUUCGGGAUUCCCUCUCUUUUUACACAAACCCUUUCUUGUAACAUUGAACGUGAAUUAGUGCCGAUAAGGCCUUAAAACAGAAUACAACUUUUAACAACGGAUCUCUUGGCUCUC
rnacentral:misc_RNA from 1 species